GCGGCUUUAGCUCAGUUGGGAGAGCGUUAGACUGAAGAUCUAAAGGUCCCUGGUUCGAUCCCGGGAAGCCGCA